rnacentral:rRNA from 1 species
GUACCGCAAACCGACACAGGUGGACAGGUCGAGUAGACUAAGGCUGGCGGAAGAACGAUGGUUAAGGAACUAGGCAAACAAGCUGGGAGUAAUUUCGAGAGAUUCCCUACCCACUACCUUUUUGGUAUGUGGGUUGCAACUAACGAUUAUCAAGCGACUGUUUAUCAAAAACACAGGUCUAUGCAAAAGCGUAAGCUUAGGUAUAUGGGCUGAAACCUGCCCAGUGCCGGAAGGUUAAUUGAGAGGGUGACAUCUUCGGAUUGAGCCUUUGAUCGAAGCCCCGGUGAACGGCAGCAGUAACUAUAAACAU